AGAGAGGUUAGAGAGUUUUAAAAUGAGGAACAUUACAUUUUUGUUGCAGCCAUUUAAGAGAAAGAAAGAUAAUGUGUAAAUUUUUCUUUAUAUAGGGAGACAAAAAAUCCAAUUAGGUUAAAUAUUUUCGAUUCAAAAGACUUUCAAGUAAGUCUUCCAGAAGACUUCAAUAUUUUUAGCGAAAAAUUAAAAUAUUUUUAGCAGGAAACUAAAAUAGAAGAAUUCCUGGAAGACUUACAUGUUAGUCGUCUAAACCAUAAACAUAACCUCUAAACUAAAUUAACUAACUAAACACUUCAUAAAAUCAAAUUAAACUUAAAAAGUGUUUAUUGUAAACAUAAAUAAACACAUAUAGGUAAAAACUUAAUUUUUCAAAAUAACAUUUAAGCUUUCCAAAAUCUAACCCUAAGAAUACAUACAAUACUACAAUAUAUGUUGUCAAACCAUACACCAAAAAAUAUCAUGAUUAACUACUUUCACUCAUCUAUGUUGAAAACUAUUCAAUUUUAUUAUAUAUUAAUUUACAUCACUUAAAAUUGUUUACAAUUACAUGAUUUUAAUUUUUCACUUGUCAAAAUAUUUUUUAAAACAAU
rnacentral:lncRNA from 1 species